rnacentral:rRNA from 1 species
ACUCCUACGGGAGGCAGCAGUGGGGAAUAUUGGACAAUGGGCGCAAGCCUGAUCCAGCAAUGCCGCGUGUGUGAAGAAGGUCUUCGGAUUGUAAAGCACUUUCGACGGGGACGAUGAUGACGGUACCCGUAGAAGAAGCCCCGGCUAACUUCGUGCCAGCAGCCGCGGUAAUACGAAGGGGGCUAGCGUUGCUCGGAAUGACUGGGCGUAAAGGGCGCGUAGGCGGUUGAUGCAGUCAGAUGUGAAAUCCCCGGGCUUAACCUGGGAACUGCAUUUGAGACGCAUUGACUAGAGUUCGAGAGAGGGUUGUGGAAUUCCCAGUGUAGAGGUGAAAUUCGUAGAUAUUGGGAAGAACACCGGUGGCGAAGGCGGCAACCUGGCUCGAUACUGACGCUGAGGCGCGAAAGCGUGGGGAGCAAACAGGAUUAGAUACCCUGGUAGUCCACGCUGUAAACGAUGUGUGCUGGAUGUUGGGUAAC